GGUGCAAAAUGAACCUAAGGGUUAAUUACACAUGUGUACAGAGUUCUCUGGGAUACGUUUUCAGGCUAAUCAAAUGUGUCUCUAGCUUAAAACAAGCUAGCGCAAACCACUGAUUAGCUCAUAACGCUAUUAAAAAGAAAAGAUAGUUUAUAAAGACAGUACCGUUGGCGUAUACAGGCAGGCGCCAUCUUGGGAAAACAGUCAUGACCAGUCGAACCACAAAAGCCGCGCAACC